GUGCUCGCGAUUUUCGGAUGUCAAACCAUUAAUUGAUUUGAAUCGUCAAUCUUUGAACUCUCGAUUUUUAUUCUUGGGAAGGGAAAAAAUGAGUAAAAACCCUUAAAAAAAAUUGGAUUCGGGGGUUGGUUACGCGAAGGGAAGGUGCUAGCAUCCUAAGCGUCUAUGGUAUUCCAUAGGAACCUCUUACCUAGAUUAUCUUGUGCUAAACUACUUGUUUAUUUGAAAAAUUAUUGCCUAAUGUCUAAGUGAAAGAAUGGAGGGAGAAGAAGUAUGUUUUUGGUUAUUUUUAUUUGAUUUGGAAGGACAAGUCCUCUGCCUACGUACCCUUUUUGGGAAAGGGAUCAAAAC
rnacentral:lncRNA from 1 species